GCUGAAGAAAGAUGAUCAAGUACCUAUGAAGAUACCUGAACCAAGAGUAAGGUGGAGAAAAAGGGAUAAAGAUGGUAACAAACUUUAUAAAAGGGCAAGAUCAACAAGAAAUCAAUUACCUAAGACGUCCCACAGUGAGAAGACCAGAUGUCCCUCUCAUCCCUCUAACAUUCAGUGUGAGGCUGCCUUUGCUGCAGAGACUGUUGAGUCUUUUCUACAAGAACUCCAGAGUUC